AAUGGCCGUUAUUAUCCCAUGUCUGAUUGGUUUUGGCUGUUCCUCGCGGAACUCUAGGGCGCGCGUUUACCCCAUCGGGGAACGGCAGGAUG
rnacentral:sRNA from 1 species